UACGGAGGGUGCAAGCGUUGCUCGGAAUUACUGGGCGUAAAGCGCGUGUAGGCGGCCUUGUAUGUCUGAUGUGAAAGCCCCGGGCUCACCCCGGGAAGUGCAUUGGAAACUGCAAGGCUAGAGUCCCGGAGAGGGAGGUGGAAUUCCAGGUGUAGCGGUGAAAUGCGUAGAUAUCAGGAGGAACACCUGCGGUGUAGACGGCUUACUGGACCAUGACUGACGCUGAGGCACGAAAGCGUGGGGAGCAAACAGG
rnacentral:rRNA from 1 species